rnacentral:tRNA from 1 species
CAGGGAAUAGUUUAAUUUAGUAAUAUCAGCUUUGGGAGUUGAAGGUGGAR